rnacentral:rRNA from 1 species
UACAGAGGUCCCAAGCGUUGUUCGGAUUCACUGGGCGUAAAGGGUGCGUAGGUGGCCAGGUAAGUUCGGUGUGAAAGCUCGGAGCUUAACUCCGAAAUGGCAUUGAAUACUAUCUGGCUAGAGGGUCGGAGGGGAGACUGGAAUUCUCGGUGUAGCAGUGAAAUGCGUAGAUAUCGAGAGGAACACCAGUGGCGAAGGCGAGUCUCUGGACGACUCCUGACACUGAGGCGCGAAAGCGUGGGGAGCGAACAGG